AACUUCGGUUCUUUAGUAGAGCGGCGAAAGGGUGAGUAAUGCUUGGGCAACUUACCCCUCGGACCGGGAUAGCCUCUGGAAACGGAGGGUAAUACCGGAUGGUCUCGUGAUGACUGCGGUCAACACGAGUAAAGGUGGGGGUCUUCGGACCUCACGCCGAGGGAGAGGCCCGAGUCCUACCAGCUUGUUGGUGAGGUAAUGGCUCACCAAGGCUGAGACGGGUAGCCGGACUGAGAGGUUGGCCGGCCACACUGGCACUGAGACACUGGCCAGACUCCUACGGGAGGCUGCAGUCGAGAAUCUUCCGCAAUGGGCGCAAGCCUGACGGAGCGACGCCGCGUGGAGGAAGAAGGCCUUCGGGUUGUAAACUCCUGUCAGAGUUUAUGAAUGCGCACGGGCUAAUACCCCGUUGUGUUGACAAAGGACUCAAAGGAAGCCACAGCUAACUUCGUGCCAGCAGCUGCGGUAAUACGAAGGUGGCGAGCGUUGUUCGGAUUCACUGGGCAUAAAGGGCGCGUAGGCGGUCCUGUAAGCGGAGGGUGAAAGCCCGGGGCUCAACCCCGGAACUGCUCUCCGAACUGCAGGGCUAGAGGACGAGAGGGGACUUUGGAACUCUAGGUGGAGCGGUGAAAUGCGUAGAUAUCUAGAGGAACGCCGGUGGCGAAAGCGAAAGUCUGGCUCGUAUCUGACGCUGAGGCGCGAAAGCGUGGGUAGCAAACAGGAUUAGAUACCCUGGUAGUCCACGCCGUAAACGAUGAGCACUAGGUAGCCGGGGGAUCC
rnacentral:rRNA from 1 species